rnacentral:lncRNA from 12 species
CCUAUUCUUCAAUUUUCCUUUAAGAAACCAGCGAUCUUCUGAUUGUUGAGGUUAGAUGCUGGUCUUUUUCCUGUCUCCUUCCUCUUUUGGCUUCAUGUAAUAUGCUGAUUGAUCUUACUCUUCCUUCCUUUAAAUUAUCUCAGGAUUUUCACUUUCUCUGCUCUCUUAGUAACUGUGCUGUGGGUCAUCUGCUUGUCACUGAAAUCCCAACUCCGUAAAUAUAAGCCUUUUCGAUACAUUUGUGUUGUGCCAUCUGAAUGAGAGACCUUGCACACCUAAUGAUCCAUUCAGACGUGAAUGUUGGGAAUGUUUCAAACUCAAAUUAAGGCGGGAAGAAGCUCUGGAGUAGAGAGUGUGAGAGCCCGUGAAAUGCAUCAUUGCGCCCCCUCUAACAUGCCCUUGGACAUCUUCAUUUCCCCUUUUUCAAGAUUCUUUUACCGCAUCUAAGAAGGAGAUCUGAAGAAGUGAAUUGCAGGUCGAGAACAGGACAUGAAUGUCCAAAUGUUUAAUAUCAAAAAAGUAGACUUCUAGGAGGAGUGGAGCUGUAGCCUCGGGAGUCCUGCGGGCAUAGCGGCCCGCCACCUCUGUCCCCACCGGCCUGCGGGGUGGGGGGGUAGCAGCUGCUGGGAUUCUCCUGUGUCUUGUCCUUACUCUCUCCAUCACUAGUCUCAAAAUUGGUGUCCCCACCCUUUUGUCCCCCUUACAUUCACACGUCAAGUAAUCACACAUACUACAUUCUUUUUUUCCCCUCACAAGCUGUCUUAUGUCCAUCCUACAUUUACUCUUGAAAACUACACCCUUUAUUUGGACUAGACAUUUUUUUUAUCCUCCCAGGUUCUUCUCCUCAGCCCCCUCCCACAUGCGACUAUCAUGAAACAAAGCAGAUCUGUUUCCUCCUCUUGAAACCAGUUAUAGAAAUAGGGCCCAGUCUGACGGAGGAGGAGCCGUGUCAGAACUUCCUUCUCCUCAAACUUCCUGAUUUAUUUUUCCAUCACAAGCAACCCCUGCUUCCCACGCGGUAGCCUCCCCUCCCAUCGUGUGUUGUCCCCGACUUGGCUUUUCAUGUU